UAGCCCAUCCACUUUUAGGCAGCAUACAAUCUUUCUAUAUUUUUUUUUCUCCAAAUGUUGAGGUCUUUCUUCUGAAACAAAGAAGAAAUAGUCAAAACAGACAUGUCCUCUUGGAAAUGGGGUCCAGAUUUCUCUACUCCCAAGCUCCAACAAA
rnacentral:lncRNA from 1 species